rnacentral:lncRNA from 1 species
AUCCAAUGGCAUUCACUGUUUGUUCAAAUAAGUUUAUAGAUGUAUUAUUGUGCAAAUGGUCGAGACUUUCUCUAAGAACUAAAUCCAAAUAGUAAUCGCAGAGGUUAAAGUGCCUAUGACCAUAGUGCAACUCUUGCCCCAUAGCCAACUUGAAGAGUUACUUCACCUUCCAUCAACCCUCUACUUUCCCUUAGACCUUAUACUAAAGUGCAUAAACA